AUAUCGGAAGGACCACCGGUGGCGAAGGUGGCUCCGUGGGCUGCUCCUGUCGAGGAAGGCGAACGCUAGGGUAGCGAACGGUAUUAGAACCCCCUAUAGUUCUAGCCAUAAAAGAUGGAUACUAGGUGUAGGAGGUUAAAACUCCUUUUGUACCGGAGCUAACGCGUUAAGUAUCCCGCCUGGGGAGUACGGUCGCAUGACUAUAACUCGAAGGAAUUGACGGGGGCCCGCACAAGCAACGGUGCGUGUGAUUUAAUUCGAUGCAACAGCGAAGAUCCUUACCAGGGAUUUACAUGUAGGUAGUGAGUGAAGCGAAAGCGGAACGCUCCUUGGAGAAGCCUACGCAGGUGCUGCAUGGCUGUCGUCAGCUCGUGCCGUGAGGUGUUAGGAUAAGUCCAGUAACGAGCGCAACCCCUGCCGUUAGUUACAAGUGUCUAACAGGACUGCCCGGCAAAACUGGGAGGAAGGUGGGGAUGACGUCAAGUCAGCAUGGCCUUUAUGUCCUGGGCUACACACACGCUACAAUGGCCGGUACAAUGGGUUGCCAAGCCGCGAGGCGGAGGCAAUCCUCUAAAAGCCGGUCUCAGUUCGAAUUGUAGGCUGCAACCCGCCUGCAUGAAG
rnacentral:rRNA from 1 species